ACCGUAUGACGCCGGUUGCUCGAACGCCGGAAUCGUUGAUACUGACAACGACAGUCAGUUCACGUUUUCUACUCAUCGCAUCGUUCGUAGAUUGAAUAUCUUGGCAAUCAGGCUGCAUGAGGUACCCAUAAUGCUGAAAUAGGUCAUCUUUGUCAAGCGUUCGUGUCCGCGUCCCGAAAAGGCCAACCUAAGAAGACAAACCGAACAUGCAGUGCGGAAAUAAUUGAAAACACAACAUCGUGUUACGCGAUCUAUGGAUACCAACAGGAAGUUACGACUUUCCCAAAUGUUAUUGUGUGUGAGCUAGGUAGCUAACGUGUUCUGGCGGAAGAUCGAUGUGAUACGGGAUUGCAAAGGGCUUAUCCUCUUUAAAACAACCCUGCAAAUAGGAUUACCAAAAUGCCUUCGAACUAUGUAGCACCAACCUAAGUUCUCAUGGUGCCAAACAAGUUAACUUCAAAAAAGUCUCUGGUUUACCAAAUGCACGGCGGACGCUUUAUAGAGCAUUAACAAUAAUCAUCGAAAGUGUGUUAUAUUUUACUUGUUUCACGAAAAAGGUGUAAGGAAAUACAGAUUAAAUU